rnacentral:rRNA from 1 species
CCUACGGGAGGCAGCAGUAGGGAAUUUUCGUCAAUGGGCGCAAGCCUGAACGAGCAAUGCCGCGUGAACGAGGAAGGUCUUCGGAUCGUAAAGUUCUGUUGAAGGGGAAAAAGAGCGGAGAGAGGAAAUGCUUUCUGAUUGAUAUUACCCUUCGAGGAAGUCACGGCUAACUACGUGCAAGCAGCCGCGGCAAUACGUAGGUGGCGAGCGUUAUCCGGAAUGAUUGGGCGUAAAGGGUGCGUAGGCGGCCUGCUAAGUCUGGAGUAAAAGGUACGGGCUCAACCGGUACAGGCUCUGGAAACUGGCGUGCUAGAGAGCAGGAGAGGGCGGUGGAACUCCAUGUGUAGCGGUAAAAUGCGUAGAUAUAUGGAAGAACACCAGUGGCGAAGGCGGCCGCCUGGCCUGUUACUGACGCUGAGGCACGAAAGCGUGGGGAGCAAAUAGGAUUAGAUACCCUGGUAGUC